rnacentral:rRNA from 1 species
GAUGAACGCUAGCUACAGGCUUAACACAUGCAAGUCGAGGGGCAGCACAGUGUAGCAAUACAUGGGUGGCGACAGGCGCACGCGUGCGUCACGCGUAGCCAACCUUUCCGAUACACAGGGAUAGCCUUCCGAAAGGGAGAUUAAUACCUGAUGGUGUUCAAAUUCCGCAUGUUAUUUGAACUAAAGUUUUAUCGGUAUGGGAAGGGGAUGCGUGACAUUAAGUAGUAGGCGGGGUAACGGCACACCUAGUCUACGAUGUCUAGGGGUUCGGGGAGGAUGGUCCCCCACACUGGAACUGAGACACGGUCCAGACUCCUACGGGAGGCAGCAGUGAGGAAUAUUGGUCAAUGGUCGGAAGACUGAACCAGCCAAGUAGCGUGAAGGAUGAAGGUUCUAUGUAUUGUAAACUUCUUUUAUACGGGAAUAAAACCUCCCACGUGUGGGAGCUUGUAUGUACCGUAUGAAUAAGCAUCGGCUAACUCCGUGCCAGCCGCCGCCGUAACAC